UCCCUGGUGGCCCAGUGGACAAGACUCUGUGCUCAUAAUGCAGGGGGCACAGGUUCAAUCCCUGAUUAGGGAA
rfam:TPA: Bos taurus chromosome 2, whole genome shotgun sequence.